rnacentral:rRNA from 1 species
GAUGAACGCUGGUGGCGUGCCUAAUACAUGCAAGUCGAGCGGUAAGGCCUCUUCGGAGGUACACGAGCGGCGGACGGCUGAGUAACACGUAGGAACAUACCCCAAAGUGAGGGAUAACUGCUCGAAAGAGUAGCUAAUACCGCAUGUGGUCUUCGGAUUAAAGCUUCGGCGCUUUGGGAAUGGCCUGCGUCUGAUUAGCUAGAUGGUGAGGUAAAGGCUCACCAUGGCGACGAUCAGUAGCUGGUCUGAGAGGAUGAUCAGCCAGACUGGGACUGAGACACGGCCCAGACUCCUACGGGAGGCAGCAGUAGGGAAUUUUCCACAAUGGGCGAAAGACUGAUGGAGCAACGCCGCGUGCAGGAUGAAUGCCUUUGGGUUGUAAACUGCUUUUAUAUGUGACGAAUAUGACGGUAGCAUAUGAAUAAGGAUCGGCUAACUCCGUGCCAGCAGCCGCCGUAA